rnacentral:rRNA from 1 species
CAAUAGCGUAUAUUAAAGUUGUUGCAGUUAAAAAGCUCGUAGUUGGAUUUCUGGUGGGAGCGACCGGUCGGCGCUUAACGGCGUGUGCACUGGAGUUGUCUCUUGCCAUCCUUGAGGAGAACGUGUCUGGCAUUAAGUUGUCGGGCUUGGGAUCCUCAUCGUUUACUGUGAAAAAAUUAGAGUGUUUAAAGCAGGCAUUUGCUGUGAAUACAUUAGCAUGGAAUAAUAAGAUAGGACUUUGGUGCUAUUUUGUUGGUUUGCGUACCAAGGUAAUGAUUAAUAGGGAUAGUUGGGGGUAUUCGUAUUCAAUUGUCAGAGGUGAAAUUCUUGGAUUUAUGGAAGACGAACAACUGCGAAAGCAUUUACCAAGGAUGUUUUCAUUA